rnacentral:snoRNA from 12 species
UUGCAUGUGGAAAUAUGUCUGUUCCUCAUUCCUUUGGGAGCAGGAAUACCUCCAUAACAUGCUACAUAAAAGGAGUUCUCAGGGCUGCCAACCUUACAGUAGAGGUUGAGUAGUAGUAUAUUUCUCCUACAUAG